rnacentral:rRNA from 1 species
GCCUAACACAUGCAAGCUCGAACGGACNCUUCGGGGUUAGUGGCGGACGGGUGAGUAACACGUGGGAACGUGCCUUUAGGUUCGGAAUAGCUCCUGGAAACGGGUGGUAAUGCCGAAUGUGCCCUCCGGGGGAAAGAUUUAUCGCCUUUAGAGCGGCCCGCGUCUGAUUAGCUAGUUGGUGAGGUAAUGGCUCACCAAGGCGACGAUCAGUAGCUGGUCUGAGAGGAUGGCCAGCCACAUUGGGACUGAGACACGGCCCAAACUCCUACGGGAGGCAGCAGUGGGGAAUCUUGCGCAAUGGGCGAAAGCCUGACGCAGCCAUGCCGCGUGAAUGAUGAAGGUCUUAGGAUUGUAAAAUUCUUUCACCGGGGACGAUAAUGACGGUACCCGGAGAAGAAGCCCCGGCUAACUUCGUGCCAGCAGCCGCGGUAAUACGAAGGGGGCUAGCGUUGCUCGGAAUUACUGGGCGUAAAGGGCGCGUAGGCGGACAUUUAAGUCAGGGGUGAAAUCCCAGAGCUCAACUCUGGAACUGCCUUUGAUACUGGGUGUCUUGAGUGUGAGAGAGGUAUGUGGAACUCCGAGUGUAGAGGUGAAAUUCGUAGAUAUUCGGAAGAACACCAGUGGCGAAGGCGACAUACUGGCUCAUUACUGACGCUGAGGCGCGAAAGCGUGGGGAGCAAAACAGGAUUAGAUACCCUGGUAGUCCACGCCGUAAAACGAUGAUUGCUAGUUGUCGGGCUGCAUGCAGUUUCGGUGACGCAGCUUACGCAUUAAGCAAUCCCGCCUGGGGAGUACGGUC